rnacentral:lncRNA from 1 species
GUUGUUUGGUGGUCUAUUGUACAACUUAUAUAUACUUUUCAGUUAAUAAUGUACCUUUCCACUUUAUAAUAUGAAAUGUAAAGGUUAAAGAUUACAAGGAAACACUAACAACCAAAAAUCAUGCAAUAGUUGGGAAUAAAGCUAUUGACACACACAAUUAGAAUACUGAUGGAGGUAGCACAAUGGCAUACCCUUAUUCUGUUUAAUACAAUUACAACCUCACUUCACGAUAAGCC